rnacentral:rRNA from 1 species
ACCGUCGGAGGUAGAGCACUGAAAGGGCUAGGGGGAGCAAUCCUACCAAACCCUAUCAAACUCCGAAUUCCGAUGAGUGCAACCCGGCAGUGAGACGGCGGGUGAUAAGAUUCGUCGUCAAGAGGGAAAGAGCCCAGACUGCCAGCUAAGGCCCCCAAGUGAGUGCUAAGUGGUCAAGGAAGUGGGAAGUCUCAGACAACCAGGAGGUUGGCUUAGAAGCAGCCACCCUUUAAAGAAAGCGUAACAGCUCACUGGUCGAGAUUUCCUGCGCCGUAAAUAUAACGGGGCUCAAGCACUCCGCCGAAGCUGCGGACUUCCUUCGGGAAGUGGUAGGGGAGCGUUCCAGUUGCAGUGAAGCAGUACUGUAAGGUGCUGUGGAGCGACUGGGAAGUGAGAAUGCUGACGUGAGUAGCGAUAAAACGGGUGAAAAAACCCGUUCGCCGGAAGCCCAAGGGUUCCUGUCCAAGGAUCAUCCGGG